AUGAGAAGCCAAGUGCCACUUGAUAUAGUAGAUCAAACAACCUACGAGGCUAAAAACUUUCUACUUCUUAAUCAAGGAGAAGCCGUCGCCCCCAUCUCCCGUUCCGCCGCCGCCGCCCCCCACCUUGCCCUAUCUCCCUCUCAGCCACCUCCACCGCCCCCACGCUUCUCCUCACCACAACAGAUCCCUUCGCCGUCGCCCUCGCACUCGCACCAAGCCGCCGCCGAUCCCUGCGUCCCAGUGGAUCCGUUCGCCGCUGCCGAUCCUUCGCUGCCGCCGAUCUCGUCGCUACAUCGACGGCAACCAGGGGUCGUCCUCCGCCCAGCCGCAGUGGAGAUCAAGCAGGAGUCCUCCAAGGACGACUCCCGCGGGAUCAUCCUGAUCCUGUUCGAGAAGUUCGGCUUCUCCCACCGCGGGUCCGUCUCCAUCGCGCUCACCGGCGCCAGGGCUGCCUCCAAGCUCGCCAAGCCGGACUCUUCGCAGCUCGGCUUCUUCCUUUGGUGA
rnacentral:rRNA from 1 species